UACGAAGGGGGCUAGCGUUGUUCGGAAUUACUGGGCGUAAGGGGCGCGCAGGCGGCUCUUCAAGUCAGAUGUGAAAGCCCCGGGCUCAACCUGGGAACUGCAUUUGAGACUGGAGAGCUUGAGUUCGGGAGAGGAGAGCGGAAUUCCCAGUGUAGAGGUGAAAUUCGUAGAUAUUGGGAAGAACACCGGUGGCGAAGGCGGCCUGCUGGGCAGUAGCUGACGCUGAGGCGCGACAGCGUGGGGAGCAAACAGG
rnacentral:rRNA from 1 species